GACGAACGCUGGCGGCGUGCUUAACACAUGCAAGUCGAACGGAAAGGCCCUGCUUUUGUGGGGUGCUCGAGUGGCGAACGGGUGAGUAACACGUGAGUAACCUGCCCUUGACUUUGGGAUAACUUAAGGAAACUAGGGCUAAUACCGGAUAGGUGCUCCUGAUGCUCGGUGGGGGUUGGAAAGGUUCGGCGGGUGGGGAUGGACUCGCGGCUUAUCAGCUUGUUGGUGGGGUAGUGGCUUACCAAGGCUUUGACGGGUAGCCGGCCUGAGAGGGUGACCGGCCACAUUGGGACUGAGAUAGGGCCCAGACUCCUACGGGAGGCAGUAGUGGGGAAUAUUGCACAACGGGCGGAAGCCUGAUGCAGCAACGCCGCGUGCGGGAUGACGGCCUUCGGGUUGUAAACCGCUUUCGCCUGUGACGAAGCGUGAGUGACGGUAAUGGGUAAAGAAGCACCGGCUAACUACGUG
rnacentral:rRNA from 1 species